AUAUAAUUUCGAUUCUGCAAGUUAAACGAUGCUCUGGAUUAUUCUUCAACUGAAGUAUUGUUAUUGUCAUAAAUAGUCGAUCGAGACGUGUACAUCAGCGACUUUCAGAAGCCAGAAAUUAGUGAUGCAAAUCAAGCCAGAAAUAAUUUGAUAAGGCGAUAUUGUGCCGCGAGAUAGUCCAAUAGAGUGUAGUGAUGUCAGAGAGUAGCAAUUGAGGCCAAGUUAGGAAUCUCGAGUAGUGUGACCGAGUUGUCACCUAUUUUUCUAUCAGAGCUAAGGAUUAAGACGAGUUGUAUAAGCUGCGCGUAAGAUUGAUGCUAGGCGAGAUUGCCAGGGAGAUGUUUACAAGAGUAGUUUUGGUUAGAGUUGAAUUAUUUCAGUUCAGUUGUAUAAUAGAUUUAUUUAUUUGGUUAUCAGUCACUCUUUUUAUCGAGGUUUAACUGAUAAUGUAGUUUAAGUUGUAAUAAAAUUUGAUAGCUUUGGUUUC